GGAGCAGUUGGUAGCUCGUCGGGCUCAUAACCCGAAGGUCGUAGGUUCAAGUCCUGCCUCCGCAACCA
rnacentral:tRNA from 1 species